AAGUCGUAACAAGGUUUCCGUAGGUGAACCUGCGGAAGGAUCAUUACUGAAUAAAGCGUGGUCGGGGGUUGUCGCUGGCAUCCUUGUGAUGCAUGUGCACACCUCUGCCACUCUGUCAUUCAUUCACCUUCCACCUGUGCAUUCUCUUGUAGGCCAGAUUGCCAUUUUUUUUCGCCUUUGCGUGUCUUGAGAUUUGCUGCUGCAGUGACACAGCUCCUCUCGUCUGCAUCUGGUCUAUGCUCUUUUUACCCAAACCCCAUGUUUUUGUUUUGUAUAUGUAUGGACAUUAGCUUUUGUUUAAAAAGCAUGUGUAUGCACAACUUUCAACAACGGAUCUCUUGGCUCUC
rnacentral:misc_RNA from 1 species